GUAGGUGGGGUAACGGCUCACCUAGGCGACGAUCCCUAGCUGGUCUGAGAGGAUGACCAGCCACACUGGAACUGAGACACGGUCCAGACUCCUACGGGAGGCAGCAGUGGGGAAUAUUGCACAAUGGGCGCAAGCCUGAUGCAGCCAUGCCGCGUGUGUGAAGAAGGCCUUCGGGUUGUAAAGCACUUUCAGCGGGGAGGAAGGCGAUAAGGUUAAUAACCUUGUCGAUUGACGUUACCCGCAGAAGAAGCACCGGCUAACUCCGUGCCAGCAGCCGCGGUAAUACGGAGGGUGCAAGCGUUAAUCGGAAUUACUGGGCGUAAAGCGCACGCAGGCGGUCUGUCAAGUCGGAUGUGAAAUCCCCGGGCUCAACCUGGGAACUGCAUUCGAAACUGGCAGGCUAGAGUCUUGUAGAGGGGGGUAGAAUUCCAGGUGUAGCGGUGAAAUGCGUAGAGAUCUGGAGGAAUACCGGUGGCGAAGGCGGCCCCCUGGACAAAGACUGACGCUCAGGUGCGAAAGCGUGGGGAGCAAACAGGAUUAGAUACCCUGGUAGUCCACGCCGUAAACGAUGUCGAUUUGGAGGUUGUGCCCUUGAGGCGUGGCUUCCGGAGCUAACGCGUUAAAUCGACCGCCUGGGGAGUACGGCCGCAAGGUUAAAACUCAAAUGAAUUGACGGGGGCCCGCACAAGCGGUGGAGCAUGUGGUUUAAUUCGAUGCAACGCGAAGAACCUUACCUGGUCUUGACAUCCACAGAACUUUCCAGAGAUGGAUUGGUGCCUUCGGGAACUGUGAGACAGGUGCUGCAUGGCUGUCGUCAGCUCGUGUUGUGAAAUGUUGGGUUAAGUCCCGCAACGAGCGCAACCCUUAUCCUUUGUUGCCAGCGGUCCGGCCGGGAACUCAAAGGAGACUGCCAGUGAUAAACUGGAGGAAGGUGGGGAUGACGUCAAGUCAUCAUGGCCCUUACGACCAGGGCUACACACGUGCUACAAUGGCAUAUACAAAGAGAAGCGACCUCGCGAGAGCAAGCGGACCUCAUAAAGUAUGUCGUAGUCCGGAUUGGAGUCUGCAACUCGACUCCAUGAAGUCGGAAUCGCUAGUAAUCGUAGAUCAGAAUGCUACGGUGAAUACGUUCCCGGGCCUUGUACACACCGCCCGUCACACCAUGGGAGUGGGUUGCAAAAGAAGUAGGUAGCUUAACCUUCGGGAGGGCGCUUACCACUUUGUGAUUCAUGACUGGGGUGAAGUCGUAACAAGGUAACCGUAGGGGAACCUGCGGUUGGAUCACCUCCUUACCUUAAAGAA
rnacentral:rRNA from 1 species